AUACGUAGGUGGCGAGCGUUGUCCGGAAUUACUGGGCGUAAAGGGUGCGUAGGCGGAUAAUCAAGUCAGAUGUGAAAGUCCAUGGCUUAACUGUGGGAGUGCAUUUGAUACUGAAGAUCUAGAGUGCAGGAGAGGGAAGCGGAAUUCCUAGUGUAGCGGUGAAAUGCGUAGAUAUUAGGAAGAACACCAGUGGCGAAGGCGGCUUUCUGGACUGUAACUGACGCUGAAGCACGAAAGCGUGGGGAGCAAACAGGAUUAGAUACCCUGGUAGUCCACGCCGGAAACGAGGAGUAUUAGGUGUAGGGGACGAUAGUCUUCUGUGCCGGAGCAAACGCAAUAAAUACUCCGCCUGGGGAGUACGGUCACAAGACUAAA
rnacentral:rRNA from 1 species